rnacentral:rRNA from 1 species
CCAAUAGCGUAUAUUAAAGUUGCUGCAGUUAAAAAGCUCGUAGUUGAAUUUCGGGAUCAAUAUGUUGGUCGUGCCUUGGUACGUACUAGCUUAUUGAUUUCUCCCUUCUGAUGAACCAUGAUGUCAUUAAUUUGGUGUCAUGGGGAAUUAGGACUGUUACUUUGAAAAAAUUAGAGUGUUUAAAGCAGGCUCACGCUUGAAUACAUUAGCAUGGAAUAAU